GGCACCCAAACAAACACAGAUUAUUAUUGAAAAAAUAGCUAUUAUGAUGUACACUCAUCUCUACAUUUUUAGCAAGAAAACACCUAGACUAGUGCUACUUCUCUAUGAUGUUGGGAUAGCUUUUUCUGUAAGUUGAUAUGAAAUUUUUUGUUUUAAUGUAUUACUAAGGGCUAUGGGAAGCAAGUGGCCUACUGUGUGCUUCUGCAAUUUACUUACCUGCUUUUUUUAUAUCUGUGUUUAUUGAUUUUUAUUCACUUCAAAGACUCUUUACCACCAUAUAUCAUGUUGAGACAGUGUUUUAUUUAUUUAGUGUGCCUUGAUCUUUGGUUUAUCGUGUGUUUGCUCAUAUUUUUGUUUAUUGCAAACAAAAAGGUACUUUUUAUGUUGCUGGCAGUUUUGGUUGCCUUAGGAGAACUGUCUUAGAUGAGAGGCUAAAAUACGACGAGUUCUCUACUGCAGUAUUGAUUAGAACCUUGUUUCACCAAAAUUUUCAGGCUGGGAUUAGUGACUUCCAGAAGACAAUUCAUCUAUUGGUUUCUUUGAAGGUUAUAGAGAAGUGGUAUUACUUAAGAACAUUAAGAGUCUGUAUGCUUGUGGAGGUGUGAAUUUGUAAUAUUGUGUCUAUAUAUGUAUCAUGUAUUAUAUUAUGCACCUUAUUUUAAGUGUGAAAUUUAUUAGGAAGAAAUUUUCUUUGAUGCAAUUAUUGAGAUUUUCUAUUGGAAUACUUCGUGGCUAGUUUGUUCGAGCAAAAUUGUAUUUUGAGAGUUGAGAUUGAACAAGAUUUGUAAUAAGAUUUGUUAUUAUGAAUGUAAUAAAAUGCUUCAUUAUUGGUAGUAUAGCUAACCCUGGUUAAUAUGUAGGUGGUUAAUAGACUUGGUUAAGUGUGUAUUAGGUGUCUUAACUUGUACAUACAUAACCUCAGCUUUGUGUUGUGUAUAAGUGAAUACAUUUUUAAUAACACUCAUGAUUAUUCUUUCUUCUCUAAGAAACCCUUUCUUCUCUGCAUACCAUUUUGCAUUCUGCGUUUAGCCCAUUCUUGCUUUCUUGCCCCUUUAGUGUAUGCUUCGCCCUCCGAUUCUUGGCCUUUAGAUAUCCAACAUGGUAUUUAAAGCCAAGUUUCUGACCUUUCUCCUUCCCUGAAUUCUUUCCCCAAUUUUUUUUCUUUACCAUGGAAAUCUCUCUUUCUGAUUCAAUAAACAAAAGGCAUUUUCCCCAAUUACUGAUAAACUCAAUGGAAACAACUAUUCCACAUGGCGCUAUCAAGCUUUAUUGACAAUUCAGUCUUAGCAUGGAGUAUCAUCUCUUAGCAUCCAAGAUUCUUGAACAAUUUAUCUCUGAUGCAACCAAGAAGUCUACAACAAAAUCUGAUUCCUUCAAAACAUGGAAGCUCUAAGAUCUGACACUUUCUACCUGGAUUGUGGCUUCUAUGACCACUCCCUUCCAAAACAGAGUCAUUGGCUCCACGUGGUUCUAUGAAAUUUGGGAAAAAAUAGAUACAUACUUCAUUGCUAUUGCCAAUUCCAGAAUUCAAACUCUCAAAUUGCAAUUGAAAUCUACCAAGAAGAUUGCUUCUACAUCAGAAUAUCUUGCACAAAUUAAAAAGAUUGUGGAUUCCCUCUUUGCAAUAGGAUAUGUAGUACCUGAUGAUGAUCAUCUUUAGGCAAUACUUGAUGGUCUCUUUGAAAAAUACUAACUUUACAUUGGUUCAGUCAUGUCAAAAUUAGGUUCCUAUCAAGUAGUAGAUGUAGAAUCCUAUAUCUCAACCUUUGAAAACAACAUUGCCUAUAGCUAAUCCUGCUCAAUACUCUAUGUCAUUCAAUGAUGGAAGAGGUGGAUUUUCUUGUCUUGGAUGUGGUGGCCGGAAUACAAGAGGAGGAGGCAAGUUUGGUUAUGCUAACCACAAUGCCAACUCUGUGGUCGAGUUGUAUAAUAUGGAGUUGUUAACUUGUUAUCACCUAUUUGAUACUUCUUUUACUCCACAAUCCAACAAUUAUUCUUCUCAGUUUUAUAUUCCAUAUGGAAACUCCCAAUCACCUCUUCCACCACCCACAUUUCAUUAGCCUCGUGCCUAUAUCUCCACUCCACCAUCCAUUAGUGAAACUACUUGGCCCCUGAUUCAAGUGCUAGCCAACAUAUCACCAAUGAUGCUUCUAACUUGUUAAUUUCAUCCUCAACCUAACCUAAUUCAGAUCAAUUAUUUGUCAGAAAUGGUAUAGGUAUCAGUAUCACAAAAUCAUGUUCUACUAUCUUAACUGACUCUCACACUAAUUUUGCUUUUAGUUUGAAUAACUUGCUCUUUGUUCCUGAAAUAACACAAUCUUAUGAGUGUAUCUAAAUUUGCCGUAGACAAUACUUUUUUGAAUUUUGGCCUAACUUUGUUGUGAUUUGUGACCAGGCUACCCAGGAGCAUCUUCUCCAAGGUGUAACUAAGAAUGGAAUCUACUCCUUUGAUCAUCUUUAUGUGCCUAUAAUUCUUCACUCCAACACAUAUGAUCUGCAUUCAUCUACUCCUGCUAAAAGUCAUAGCAUUAGUGUUAUAGCUCAAGUUAACAAUGUUUACCCCUUUAAUUCUUGCAAAUUUAAUUUUCUCUAUAUUUAGAGAUAAUAAUGCUACUAUUUUCUCUUGUAAUAAGACAUCAAAUGUUGAAUUGUGGCACAAAAUAUUGGCCACUGUGCAAUAA